rnacentral:rRNA from 1 species
GACUUGUGUGCGCCGGAUGCGGCGAUCUGCGGCCAAAAGGUCGUUGCGAUCAGCCCGUCCUGGCGCCGUAAAAUCUUCAACUGGAUCGCAACUGGACUUAAUUGCCUGGUUGCAGUCAUUCGGUUGAUCGUUUACUGUGAGAAAAUUAGAGUGUUCAAGGCAGGCAUUAUUGCAAUUGAAUAUGUUAGCAUGGAAUAAUAAGAUAAGGCUUUCGCGUUUAUUUUGUUGGUUUCUAGAUCGGAAGUAAUGAUUGAUAGGGACAGUUGGGGGUGCUAGUAUUCAGCGGCCAGAGGUGAAAUUCAUGGAUUCGCUGAAGACUAACUUAUGCGAAAGCAUU